AUUGAACGCCUGCCGCAUGCUUUACACAUGCAAGUUGGACGAGUGGCGAACGGGUGAGUAACGCAUCGGAACGUACCGAGUAAUGGGGGAUAACUGUCCGAACGGACAGCUAAUACCGCAUUUUCUUCUAACGGCCGAUGUUUGAUUAGCUGGUUGGCGGGGUAAAGGCCCACCAAUGCGACGACAAGUAGCGGGUCUGAGAGGAUGAUCCGCCACAAUGGGACUGAGACACGGCCCAGACUCCUACGGGAGGCAGCGUUGGGGAAGUUUGGAAAAUGGGCGCAAGCCUGAUCCAGCCAUGCCGCGUGUCUGAAGAAGGCCUUCGGGUUGUAGAGGACUUUUGUCAGGGAAGCGGUACCUGAAGAAUAAGCACCGGCUAACUACGUGCCAGCCGCCGCGGUAAUUC
rnacentral:rRNA from 1 species